UUCUUUUCUUUCUCUUUCAGGACUUCAGACAAGUGUGACGAGGCUGUGUGGUGAGAUUGUGGAGCUGAAGCAGCACCUGGAGCACUAUGACAAGAUCCAGGAGCUCACGCACAUGCUGCAGGAGAGCCACAGCUCCCUGGUCAGCACCAACGAACACCUGCUGCAGGAGCUGAGCCAGGUGCGGGCGCAGCACCGGGCCGAGGUGGAGCAGAUGCACUGGAGCUACCAGGAGCUCAAGAAGACCAUGGCCCUGUUUCCGCACGGGAGCGCCGGCCCUGGACGCUGCCAGGCCUGCUGACUCCUGCCAGGAGCUAGUGCUGCUCCUUGAGCUACCUGCUGAAUUACGUGGCCUGUGCCUUCCUGUUUCUUUACUGAGUGUAUUGGCUGGCAAGGGUUCUUGCUUCUGUUUGUAAGUACUUAGGAUUUUUGGAAUGUAUUCAGGGGCUAUAGCUUGUUUUUCUAAAGCAUCCGAAAAUGAUAUGAUCCAUCCAAGCCCUUCGCAUGUUUGGAGACAAAACACAUUGACAUAUUUUGAGACCAACUGACCAUUAAUCUUUCAUCCAGUGUCCAGAGAUGACGUAAAUGCAGUGUUUCACUACCUGAUAUAAAGGAGAGCUAUGUAUGAUCUUUAUUUAAUAAAUGAUACAUUGUUCUGAAAA